AUCCCAUGGUGAGGACACGCUAGAAUGUUCUCCUGAAGCCUCUUCCAUGCUUCAGAUAUAGACUCAUUUGAUGCCUGCUGGAAACUGGAGAUUCUCCCUCGGGGAGC